CAAAACCGUGUAUUUAUGGAUGACAAGAUCUUGUGUGUAGAAAAUCCUAAGAAAUCCAUUAAAACCCAUUAGAGGUAAUAAGCAAGUUUGCUGGAUAUAAGAUCGAUGUGCAAAAUCAAUUGCAUUUUUUGCAUUAGUAAUGAACUUUCCAAAAAUGAAAUUAGGAAAUAAAUUCCAUUAUCAUGGCAUAAAAAAGAAUAAAAUACUUGAGUAUAAAUUUAACAAAAAAAAGUGCAAGAUUUGUACACUGAAAUCUGUAACAGAUUACUGAAAGAAACAUGUUAGGACUCAGUAAAUGAAGACUCCCAUGCUCACAGAUGAAAAGAUUUCAUACUGAUAAGAUGGUAAUACUCCCCAAAUGGGUCUGCAGACUCAAUUCAAUCCCUAUCAAAAUUCCAACUACUUUUUUGCAGAAAUUGGCAAACUAACCUUAAAAUUCACACAGACCUCAAGGGACCCAGAAGAAACAGAACAAUCUCAAAAAAGACCAAAUUCAGAAAACUCAGCAAUUUCCAACAACAAAAUAUAUUACAAAGCCUCAGUAAACAAGAUGGUGCAAUACUGGAAAUACAUGUAAACAUAUAGAUUCAUGAAAUAGAACUGAAAGUCCAGAAAUAAAUUCUUACUUUUAUAGUCAAUUGGUUUUGAACAAGAGUUCCAAAACAAUAUAAGGGAGAAAGAAUAGUCUUUCAACAAAUUGUGGUAGAAAACUAAACACCCACAUGCAAAAGAAUGAAGUUAUAUUCUUAUUAUUAUUUUUACUAUAAACACAUGCACAUGCAAAUAACACAAUGGUUCAAAGGCCUAACUGUAAGAGGUUAACAAUGAAACGUUUUUGUACAUAUAUAUGCAUAUAUAUGUAUAUAUAUAUAUAUAUAUAUAUAUAUAUAUAUAUAUAUAUACAACCUUCUCUACCACUGAGAUUAAAUCCUAAUUAAAAGAAUAUAUAUGUCAAUUUAAACUUGGCAAAGGAUUCAAAUAGCUUUUUUUUUCUAAAGAAGAUAUACAAAUCAUACAUACAUAAGCACAUGGAAAGAGGCUCACCAACAUUGCUCAUUUAGGAAAUCCAAACUACAGUAAGAGUCUGAUUUAUAACUUACUAGGAUGUCUCUAAUAAAAGGAUGGACAAAUGUCAGUGAUGUCAUGGAGAAAUUACAACCCUCAUACAUUAUUGUUGGAAAUGUAAAAUGGUGUAGACACUUUGAAAAAGUUUGUCGGUUUCUCAAAAAUUUAAACAUAGGGCUAUGUGAUCAAAUACUGAUAGAAAGAAUUUCAUUCCUGAGUAUAUACCCAAGAGAAAUGAAAACAUGUCCACAUAAAAACUUGUAGAUGAAUGUCCAUAGAAGCAUUAUUAAUAAUGGCUCAAAACUGAAACAACAUAAAUUUCCAUCAAUGAUAAAUAAAUAAAUAUAGUUUGGCAUAUCCAUAGAAUGGCAUAUUAUUCAGCUGUAAAAAGAAAUUACAUGUUACAACACAAAUGAACCUUGAAAACAUUAUGCUAAAUGAAAGAAGCCAGUCAUAAAAGACUACAUAUUGUAUGAUUCAAUUUAUAUGAAAUAUCUAGAAUAGGUAAAUCUAUGGAGACAAAGCAGAUUGGUGGUUGUUAAGGGUUGGUGGUUAAAGCAGGGGGAUGGCUAUAGGUGGAUGAG
rnacentral:lncRNA from 1 species